rnacentral:rRNA from 1 species
UACGUAGGGGGCGAGCGUUGUCCGGAGUCACUGGGCGUAAAGGGCACGCAGGCGGUGCGGCGCGUUUCGCGUGACAGCGGAGGGCUUAACUCUCCGAGGAUGCGAAAGACGGCGGCACUUGAGGGCCAGAGAGGGACACGGAAUUCCGGGUGGAGUGGUGAAAUGCGUAGAGAUCCGGAGGAACACCGAAGGCGAAGGCAGUGUCCUGGCUGGUGACUGACGCUGAGGUGCGAAAGCUAGGGGAGCGAACGGG